GAGCGUGACGCUGUGUUUAGCGUGGUACUCUGCAAAGGUAUUAGAGAUAGAUUUAUCCUCGCUU
rnacentral:tRNA from 1 species